GGAGAGGUGCCAGAGUGGUCGAUCGGGGCUGACUCGAAAUCAGUUGAACGCGUGAGCGUUCCGGGGGUUCGAAUCCCUCCCUCUCCGCCA
rnacentral:tRNA from 1 species